CAUGAUGAUAACGGGUAACGGGGAAUCAGGGUUCGAUUCCGGAGAGGGAGCCUGAGAAAUGGCUACCACAUCCAAGGACGGCAGCAGGCGCGAAAAUUACCCACUCCCAGCACGGGGAGGUAGUGACGAAAAAUACGGAUACGGGACUCAAUUGAGGCUCCGUAAUUCGAAUGAGUACAAUUUAAAUCCUUUAACGAGGACCAAUUGGAGGGCAAGUCUGGUGCCAGCAGCCGCGGUAACUCCAGCUCCAAAAGCGUAUAUUAAAGUUGCUGCAGUUAAAAAGCUCGUAGUUGGAUCUGGGUAGUGCGAUCGCAUGCUGUUGCUUGUUCACGGUCUUGGUUACGAUCAGGGCAGUGGUCAGCUCGGCGUAGUGGUUGUGCAACCUUUCAGCCGUGUCUGUGUUUUGUUAAACAGGUGUCGAUGGGUUAAUGAGUAUUGUAUCUUAUUGACCUGUUGGCAUGCUUUCGGAUGCCUUUAAACGGGUGUCGGGGGCGGACGGCAUCUUUACUUUGAACAAAUUUGAGUGCUCAAAGCAGGCCUAUGCGCCUGAAAAUUCUUGCAUGGAAUAAUGAAAUAGGACUUCGGUUCUAUUUUGUUGGUUUUCGGAUCCGAAGUAAUGGUUAAGAGGGACAGACGGGGGCAUUUGUAUGGCGGUGUUAGAGGUGAAAUUCUGGGAUCGCCGCCAGACAAACUACAGCGAAAGCAUUUGCCAAGAAUGUUUUCAUUGAUCAGGAGCGAAAGUCAGAGUUUCAAAGACGAUCAGAUACCGUCGUAGUCUGACCAUAAACGAUGCCAACUGACGAUCCGCGUUGGUUCUAUAAUUGACAUCGCGGGCAGUCCCCGGGAAACCUUUAAGUCUUUGGGCUCCGGGGGGAGUAUGGUUGCAAAGCUGAAACUUAAAGGAAUUGACGGAAGGGCACCACCAGGAGUGGAGCCUGCGGUUUAAUUCGACUCAACACGGGAAAACUCACCCGGCCCGGACACUGUGAGGAUUGACAGAUUGAAAGCUCUUUCUUGAUUCGGUGGUUGGUGGUGCAUGGCCGUUCUUAGUUGGUGGAGCGAUUUGUCUGGUUAAUUCCGAUAACGAACGAGACUUUAACCUACUAAAUAGUAGACUGGUCCUCUGUGCUCGUUCAGGGCGCGGCUUCUACUGCUUCUUUAUGGAGUAGUGUGGUCGUGAUCCGACGGGUGCGGUGCCAGUUUUUACUUCUUAGAGGGACAAGCGGCACACUUAAGUCGCACGAAAUUGAGCAAUAACAGGUCUGUGAUGCCCUUAGAUGUCCGGGGCCACACGUGCGCUACAAUGACGGUGCCAGCGAGCCUGGAAACCUGGCCCGAAAGGGUUGGGCAAACUGUUUCAUCACCGUCGUGACUGGGAUCGGGGCUUGCAAUUAUUCCCCGUGAACGAGGAAUUCCUGGUAAGUGCAAGUCAUAAGCUUGCGCUGAUUACGUUCCUGCCCUUUGUACACACCGCCCGUCGCUACUACCGAUUGAAUGGUUUAGUGAGGUCGUUGGAUUGGUGUCGUUGUAGUGGCUUUAUCGCUGCUCGACUGAUAUCGAGAAGACGACCUAAUUUGACUAUUUAGAGGAAGUAAAAGUCGUAACAAGGUUUCCGUAGGUGAACCUGCGGAAG
rnacentral:rRNA from 1 species